rnacentral:rRNA from 1 species
GUAAGGAAUAUUGGUCAAUGGACGAAAGUCUGAACCAGCCAUGCCGCGUGGAGGAUGAAGGUCCUCUGGAUUGUAAACUUCUUUUAUAUGGGACGAAAAAAGGCUUUUCUAAGUCGUCUGACGGUACCAUAUGAAUAAGCACCGGCUAACUCCGUGCCAGCAGCCGCGGUAAUACGGAGGGUGCAAGCGUUAUCCGGAUUCACUGGGUUUAAAGGGUGCGUAGGUGGAUUGCCAAGUCCGUGGUGAAAUCUUCGAGCUUAACUCGGAAACUGCCAUGGAUACUGGUGAUCUUGAAUAUCGUGGAGGUUAGCGGAAUAUGUCAUGUAGCGGUGAAAUGCUUAGAUAUGACAUAGAACACCAAUUGCGAAGGCAGCUGGCUACGCGAAUAUUGACACUCAGGCACGAAAGCGUGGGGAUCAAACAGGAUUAGAAACCCCUGUAGUCC